CAUGACCAAAUGGUCAAUUGACCCCCUAAGGAGUAAUUGUCCUUUAUAGUCAAUUUUCAACAAUUUUCAUAAAAUUUGUAAAUUUUUACUAACAUUUUCCACUGAAACUACUGGGCCAAGUUCAUUAUAGAUAGAGAUAAUUGUAAGCAGCAAGAAUGUUCAGUAAAGUAAGAUGUACAAACACAUCACCAUCACCAAAAUACAAUUUUGUCAUGAAUCCAUCUGCUUCCUUUGUUUAAUAUUCACAUAGACCAAGGUGAGCGACGC
rnacentral:lncRNA from 1 species